GGAUUUAGGAUGAGAAGAAUGUUGAUAACACCCCGAUGUUUUCAGUUGUUGCCAAGUAAUGUUUAAACUAAGUUGAGGACUUUUCAUCUUCUCAUACUGCCCUGCCAGCAGAGGCUGGGAGUGCACAAGAAGCUGGGAGGGGACACAACAAGGACAGAUGGCCCAAACGAGCCAAAGGGGUAUUCCAUACCAUAUUAUGUCAUGCCCACUAUAUAAACUGGGUGGAGUUCGCCGGGGGGCACUGAUUCCUGCGCUGGA